rnacentral:tRNA from 1 species
GGGGAUGUGGCUCAAUGGUAGAGCACUUGCCUAGCAUGCAUGAGACACUGGGUUUGAUCCCCAACACCA